GACGAACGCUGGCGGCGUGCUUAACACAUGCAAGUCGAACGGAAAGGCCCUGCUUUUGUGGGGUGCUCGAGUGGCGAACGGGUGAGUAACACGUGAGUAACCUGCCCUUGACUGUGGGAUAACUUCAGGAAACUGGGGCUAAUACCGGAUAGGAGCUCCUGCUGCAUGGUGGGGGUUGGAAAGUUUCGGCGGUUGGGGAUGGACUCGCGGCUUAUCAGCUUGUUGGUGGGGUAGUGGCUUACCAAGGCUUUGACGGGUAGCCGGCCUGAGAGGGUGACCGGCCACAUUGGGACUGCGGUACGGCCCAGACUCCUACGGGAGGCAGCGGUGGAGAAUAUUGCACAAUGGGCGGAAGCCUGAUGCGGCAACGCCGCGUGCGGGAUGACGGCCUUCGGGUUGUAAACCGCUUUCGCCUGUGACGAAGCGUGAGUGACGGUAAUGGGUAAAGAAGCACCGGCUAACUACGUG
rnacentral:rRNA from 1 species